rfam:Mus musculus chromosome 3, GRC primary reference assembly.
AAUUCCUGGCAAUGGGCAAAGACAAAGCUUGUUUAUGGUGUUGUACUUAUAUCAGACAGGGGCAGAGCAGAUGGCAGUCCUUUGUUCUUCUCACCUUGAUACAUGGCUUGGUGUCCAAAGCUGUCUUAUGCCUUGGACUUAUAA